UUAAGGUAAACUGGUAUGGUCUCCCAUUCCGAGGGAUACCCGGGGAUUCUUAGUGGGCGUGUGACUAAAAAAGAUAGGGAACGAUCCAUAUUCAAUAUAACCCGUAGUAAAAUUUCUAUAUUGGCUAGCUCGUGCAAUCAAUACCUCGUUACUCCCGUGCGCUACGAGCUGCUGUAGUUGCACGAAUCGAAUAUAGGCCCCAGGAGUGACUUUGUCGGGGAAUCAUACUGAAUUAUUUCCUUAGAAAGGACCAACGACGAU
rnacentral:misc_RNA from 1 species